GACGAACGCUGGCGGCGUGCCUAAUACAUGCAAGUAGAACGCUGAAGGAGGAGCUUGCUCUUCUGGAUGAGUUGCGAACGGGUGAGUAACGCGUAGGUAACCUGCCUGGUAGCGGGGGAUAACUAUUGGAAACGAUAGCUAAUACCGCAUAACAGUAGAUGUUGCAUGACAUUUACUUAAAAGGUGCAAUUGCAUCACUACCAGAUGGACCCGCGUUGUAUUAGCUAGUUGGUGGGGUAACGGCUCACCAAGGCGACGAUACAUAGCCGACCUGAGAGGGGGAUCGGCCACACUGGGACUGAGACACGGCCCAGACUCCUACGGGAGGCAGCAGUAGGGAAUCUUCGGCAAUAGACGGAAGUCUGACCGAGCAACGCCGCGUGAGUGAAGAAGGUUUUCGGAUCGUAAAGCUCUGUUGUAAGAGAAGAACGAGUGUGAGAGUGGAAAGUUCACACUGUGACGGUAUCUUACCAGAAAGGGACGGCUAACUACGUG
rnacentral:rRNA from 1 species